CUACGUGCCAGCAGCCGCGGUAAUACGUAGGUCCCGAGCGUUGUCCGGAUUUAUUGGGCGUAAAGCGAGCGCAGGCGGUUUGAUAAGUCUGAAGUUAAAGGCUGUGGCUCAACCAUAGUUCGCUUUGGAAACUGUCAAACUUGAGUGCAGAAGGGGAGAGUGGAAUUCCAUGUGUAGCGGUGAAAUGCGUAGAUAUAUGGAGGAACACCGGUGGCGAAAGCGGCUCUCUGGUCUGUAACUGACGCUGAGGCUCGAAAGCGUGGGGAGCGAACAGGAUUAGAUACCCUGGUAGUCCACGCCGUAAACGAUGAGUGCUAGGUGUUGGAUCCUUUCCGGGAUUCAGUGCCGCAGCUAACGCACUAAGCACUCCGCCUGGGGAGUACGACCGCAAGGUUGAAACUCAAAGGAAUUGACGGGGGCCCGCACAAGCGGUGGAGCAUGUGGUUUAAUUCGAAGCAACGCGAAGAACCUUACCAGGUCUUGACAUCCCGAUGCUAUUUCUAGAGAUAGAAAGUUA
rnacentral:rRNA from 1 species